GACUCGUCGUACUUUGUAGGUGCG
rnacentral:siRNA from 1 species